UCACCUCUUACCUUUCCGAACAGAGAAGUUAAGCCCGUUAGCGCCGAUGGUACUGCAUUUGUGGGAGAGUAGGUCGUUGCCUU
rnacentral:rRNA from 1 species